rnacentral:rRNA from 1 species
GACUACUGGGGUAUCUAAUCCCGUUUGCUCCCCUGGCUUUCGUGCCUCAGCGUCAGAUGCCGCCCAGAGAUUCGCUUUCGCCACUGAUGUUCCUCUCGAUAUCUACGCAUUUCACUGCUACACCGAGAAUUCCAAUCUCCUCUGCGACCCUCUAGCAGGGAAGUAUUCAGGGCAGUUUCCAAGUUGAGCCUGGAGAUUUCACCCCGAACUUUCCCUGCCGCCUACGCACCCUUUACGCCCAGUAAAUCCGAACAACGCUUGGGACCUCUGUAUUACCGCGGCUGCUGGCACAGAGUUAGCCGUCCCUUCCUCUUCCGCUACUAUCAAGUCGCAACGUGUUAGGUUACAACAAUUAUUCGCGAAUGACAGGGGUUUACGAGCCGAAGCCCUUCAUCCCCCACGCGGCGUCGCUCCAUCAGGGUUUCCCCCAUUGUGAAAAAUUCUCGACUGCUGCCCCCCGUAGG